UCGGUCCCUAUCUGCCGUGGGCGCUGGAGAACUGAGGGGGGCGUGCUCCUAGUACGAGAGGACCGGAGUGGACGCAUCACUGGUGUUCGGGUUGUCAUGCCAAUGGCACUGCCCGGUAGCUAAAUGCGGAAGAGAUAAGUGCUGAAAGCAUCUAAGCACGAAACUUGCCCCGAGAUGAGUUCUCCCUGAGACUUAGAGUCUCCUGAAGGAACGUUGAAGACGACGACGUUGAUAGGCCGGGUGUGUAAGCGCAGCGAUGCGUUGAGCUAACCGGUACUAAUGAACCGUGAGGCUUAACCUUAC
rnacentral:rRNA from 1 species